rnacentral:tRNA from 1 species
GCCUGGGUGGCUCAGUCGGUUGAGCGUCUGACUUCAGCUCAGGUCAUGAUCUCGCAGUUCGUGAGUUUGAGCCCCACGUCGGGCU